rnacentral:rRNA from 1 species
AUUGAACGCUGGCGGAAUGCUUUACACAUGCAAGUCGAGCGGCAGCGCGGGGGCAACCCUGGCGGCGAGCGGCGAACGGGUGAGUAACAUAUCGGAACGUACCCCGUCGUGGGGGAUAACACAGCGAAAGCUGUGCUAAUACCGCAUACGACCUGAGGGUGAAAGCGGGGGAUCGCAAGACCUCGCGCGAUGGGAGCGGCCGAUAUCGGAUUAGCUUGUUGGUGAGGUAAAGGCUCACCAAGGCGACGAUCCGUAGCUGGUCUGAGAGGACGACCAGCCACACUGGAACUGAGACACGGUCCAGACUCCUACGGGAGGCAGCAGUGGGGAAUAUUGGACAAUGGGCGCAAGCCUGAUCCAGCAAUGCCGCGUGUGUGAAGAAGGCCUCGGUUG